GCCACGAACGCACAGGCAAGAUGGCUGCGGCCGGGGGAGGAGCUUGGAUUCAGCCGCCACCGAACUCGCCCUGGGAUUAAGCGGACUGCGCCUGCGUGUCGCUGGCGACAGCGUCAACUACUUGUAUGCGAAAUUAAAAGUAACAGUUGGCUCCAUAGCUCAGGGGAGGAGACGAUGGCACUACCGCGCCCCUUCCCGCCCCGCGUUUGUUUGCGGCCUUCCCCGACGCGCGCGCUGAGGCUCUGGUCUGCUGCUCUGCGCUCGGCGGCUGCGCGCCCUCGGCGUUCGGGUCCCCGCCGCCUGCGUGCUGCUAACUCUGACUUCUUCCUGUGGAGUUAACACAGAAAAGCGCAGACGGCCACAUUCAUGACCCGGGACUAACGGCUCUACGUGUCACAUUCGCUUUCAGCCUUAAAAAAAAAUUAGUUUAUUUUAAACAAAAUAUAUAACUAAUGUAUGCUGGC